rnacentral:rRNA from 1 species
GAAUAGUGGACAAGUGGGCCAACCCUGAACCAGCCAUGCUGCGUGUGUGAAGAUGGUCNACGGAUNGNAAAGCAUUUUAAGAUGGNAGGAUGGGCUUUAGGUUAAUACCCUGAAUUUUUGACGUUACCAACAGAGUAAGCACCGGCUAACUCCCUGCCUGCAGCCGCGGUAAUACAGAGGGUGCAAGCGUUAUUCGGAAUUACUGGGCGUAAAGCGCGCGUAGGUGGUUCAGUAAGAUGGGUGUGAAAGCCCCGGGCUUAAACUGGGAACUGCUUUCAUAACUGCAGAGCUAGAGUACGGUAGAGGGUAGUGGAAUUGCCUGUGUAGCGGUGAAAUGCGUAGAUAUAGGAAGGAACACCAGUGGCGAAGGCGACUACCUGGACUGUUACUGACACUGAGGUGCAAAAGCGUGGGGAGCAAAC